ACUAAGGCUUUUCUGAAAGCCAACUCUUUAUCUACUAUGAUAUUUCU
rfam:Mustela putorius furo unplaced genomic scaffold scaffold00051, whole genome shotgun sequence.